rnacentral:rRNA from 1 species
AUUGAACGCUGGCGGCAGGCUUAACACAUGCAAGUCGAACGAGUGGUGGACGGGUGAGUAAUGCUUGGGAAUCUAGCUUAUGGUGGGGGAUAACUACGGGAAACUGUAGCUAAUACCGCGUACCAUAGGAUGAGCCCACGUGGGAUUAGCUAGUUGGUGAGGUAAAGGCUCACCAAGCCGACGAUCUCUAGCUGGUCUGAGAGGAUGACCAGCAACACUGGGACUGAGACACGGGCCAGACUCCUACGGGAGGCAGCAGUGGGGAAUAUUGCGCAAUGGGGGCAAGCUGAGGCAGCCAUGCGGCGUGAAUGAAGAAGGCCUUCGGGUUGUAAAGUUCUUUCGGUAGCGAGGCGUUAACUACAGAAGAAGCACCGGCUAACUCCGUGCCAGCAGCCGCGGUAAUUC